UACAGAGGGUGCGAGCGUUGUCCGGAAUCACUGGGCGUAAAGGGCGCGUAGGUGGCGACCCAAGUCGAUGGUGAAAGCUCGCCGCUCAACGGCGAGUCGGCCACCGAUACUGGGUUGCUGGAGCACUGUAGAGGCAGAUGGAAUUCCGGGUGUAGCGGUGGAAUGCGUAGAGAUCCGGAAGAACACCGGUGGCGAAAGCGGCUCACUGGACCAUUACUGACGCUGAUGCACGAAAGCUAGGGGAGCAAACAGG
rnacentral:rRNA from 1 species